GUACUGUUGAAGAGUCGCAAACUAAGACGGAAUAGCUGUCCAGUAC
rfam:Trichobilharzia regenti genome assembly, scaffold: TRE_scaffold0040264